GAGCCCUUGUGAGCGAGGGGACAACAGGAAGAUGGAGGGAAAGAGCUCUGGCCUUGAGGGCCAAAGAGGACCAACUGAAGGCAAGUCACUCUCCUCAACACAGGGUCUUCCCUUCCAGCUCUGAGAAUUCAUCACUCUCCAGAACCUCUGAUUCCUUAACAGCAAAAUUGCCCCACACCUAGGAUGUUAUCAGAAGACCAGGCAGCCGACAACAUUUUAUAAACUGGACUGGGCCAGCUGAUGCUCAGAAUGUCGUCUCCACCCCAGCCCAGCUGGCAACGGCCCCACCUUGAGUGGUCAACAGCAGAGCUAUGCUCACUGCUUCCCAGAGCCCACAACCAAGGACUAACUGCUGUUCAAUCUGGAUCCUUAAAGAAUCGUCAAAGAGAACUUUCCUGCCAGCUUCAUGUGCUGUUUCAGCUGUACUUUGUGCACCUAAUGCUGCUUCUCACAGAAUUACCCUCCGCUGUCCAGAGUCUCCACAGCUAUCUCAGAGAUGAAAGGCUUUGUGACCUGUGCUACCUGUUGUCAACUACCACAGAGCUUGGUCUAAAUAAGGAGAGAGAGACAUACACAAGAAUAUUUGACCUACUUGACCCAUCUGACCAAAAGCUCUGGAAGCCCAAGGCAGUGCAAUUAUUUAAGACACAAAGAGAUGGCAUCUGUCUUGGCACACCCCCUUAUACUGGGUUGCCCCAAUUUCACAAGCCAAAGGGGAAAACUAAAGACAGAGAAUGUUUAUACCAUCAUGCUUCAAUUUGAAAUUCCUCACUCCAGCCCCUGCCCCCACCUGCCAAGGAGGGCACGGUCAAAGAAAGCAAAAGAGGGAAGGAAGGAUUUGGGAGCCCAGUAAUGCUGCCUUUAAAAUGUAC
rnacentral:lncRNA from 1 species